rnacentral:rRNA from 1 species
GAUGAACGCUGGCGGCGUGCCUAAUACAUGCAAGUCGAGCGAACAGACGAGGGGCUUGCUCCUCUGACGUUAGCGGCGGACGGGUGAGUAACACGUGGAUAACCUACCUAUAAGACUGGGAUAACUUCGGGAAACCGGAGCUAAUACCGGAUAAUAUAUUGAACCGCAUGGUUCAAUAGUGAAAGACGGUUUUGCUGUCACUUAUAGAUGGAUCCGCGCCGCAUUAGCUAGUUGGUAAGGUAACGGCUUACCAAGGCAACGAUGCGUAGCCGACCUGAGAGGGUGAUCGGCCACACUGGAACUGAGACACGGUCCAGACUCCUACGGGAGGCAGCAGUAGGGAAUCUUCCGCAAUGGGCGAAAGCCUGACGGAGCAACGCCGCGUGAGUGAUGAAGGUCUUCGGAUCGUAAAACUCUGUUAUUAGGGAAGAACAAAUGUGUAAGUAACUAUGCACGUCUUGACGGUACCUAAUCAGAAAACCACGGCUAACUACGUG